GGAAGGGUCGCAUAGUUGGCCUAGUGCGCGCGCCUGGAAAGCGCGUAGGGGGCAACCCCUCGAGGGUUCGAAUCCCUCCCCUUCCG
rnacentral:tRNA from 2 species